AGCGGGCACCUCGGUACAAAAGUGGUGCUGAUUGGCUAAAGCCGAGGACAGGAGCCAAUCAGCGACUGGUAUAAGUCACCUAGCAACGAUAGCCGUCCCGAACAGCGCCCAGGACAACAGAGGGCGAUGUCUUUCCAUUUAAUGUCAUCUCCUGCCUCAAGGAUAUGAACAGAAGAUUCUAGUUUCAGUGCCAGAGGAUGCCAGUACCCCCUCCCAGCCACCAACAUGAUAAAAGAGCCAGGAUCAGAGCACCUCUGUUUGUGGGCGUCUAGCUUGUUCAAGUGGUGGCAUAGAGCAUAGAUCCUCAGAGCCUCCUCAUGACCCAGGAUAGCCCGACGAAUGUGUGCUUUACCUGGGAGGAGGAUGGAAAAUUCACCAUAGGACAGGAUGUCUAGAGGAGAGUCUCCCUCAGGAAGGCGAUCGUAGACCUGCGACAAGGUCUUCUCCUGCUGGUCCUCAUCGUCACUGGAAUCCACUGAACACAUACAGCAAAAAGAAUGUUAAAAUGAAUACAAUUUAAUGUUGUCUACCACCAAUAUUGGCGUCAGCGCUGAAACAAAUGGCUCUUGAAGGGCAUGAUGCGAUGCUAUGAUUACAAUGAUUGCAGAAAAUCUGAACUUGCAAGACAGGACACUGUAUGUAGGUGCAGUGCACAGUACAUUCUGUUUGUACAUUAUUGCACACUUUCAACCUUUAAAUUUAAAUAAACAAUAUUUAUGAUUCGGAUAUACUGUACAGUAUAUAUUUAUGUGCAUAUUACAUAUUAGCACGAGACUACAAUCAGUAGUUCAUCAAAAUGCGAAUCCACCCAAAA